GCUGCAGUCGAGGAUCUUUCGCAAUGAGCGAAAGCUUGACGAAGCGACGCUGUGUGAGGGAUGAAGGCCUUCGGGUUGUAAASCUCUUUCGCUUGGGAACAAGAGAGAGUGGUGAAUAGCUACUUGAUUUGAUGGGUACCGGGUAAAGAAGCACCGGCUAACU
rnacentral:rRNA from 1 species